rnacentral:lncRNA from 1 species
UUUAAAAUAUCGAUAACACCCUUUUGUAAUUGAAAUUAAACAAACGAUUAAUUGAAACGGUACGGAAAGAAAAAAGUCACAGUCGAAAAUCGUGGAAACGUAGAAACGGUAGGAAGGCAACUGACGUCGCAGAAUAGCCCCGUCGGCAAUGAAAUGAAGAAACGGCUCUACGUCUCCUAAACGGUGUUGGCCGAACUGAAUCGACUCACCCAUCUUUGUCUACGUCUCUUAAUCAGUGUUCGAGUUCGCGGGACUGAAUCAUCUCAUCGGCUACGAAUUCAAGAAACGGCACAUGAAUUGCCCAUCAAACCUACAAAUCCAUCUUCGUCAGCAACAGGUUAUAUAACUUAAUUUACUUCUCUGGCAACUCUUGGGAACCUCUUUUUGUUUCUCUGUUUUCUCUCUCUAAAUUGUCAUUUAGAAUUGGGAACCCAAAAAUUGGAGAAAGAACAUAACCCUUUGUUUUCGUUUCUCUAUUUUGGCUCUCUAAAUUCUGGCUUCUCUCUCUGCAUCUCGGAUUGGCAUCUCGGAUUGGG